GAUGAACGCUGGCGGCGUGCCUAAUACAUGCAAGUCGAGCGAACGGACGAGAAGCUUGCUUCUCUGAUGUUAGCGGCGGACGGGUGAGUAACACGUGGAUAACCUACCUAUAAGACUGGGAUAACUUCGGGAAACCGGAGCUAAUACCGGAUAAUAUUUUGAACCGCAUGGUUCAAAAGUGAAAGACGGUCUUGCUUGCACUUAUAGAUUGUUCCGCGCUGCAUUAGCUAGUUGGUUAGGUAACGGCUUACCAGGGCAACGAUGCAUAGCCGACCUGAGAGGGUGAUCCGCCACACUGGAACGGAGACACGGUCCAGACUCCUACGGGAGGCCGCAGUAGGGAAUCUUCCGCAAUGGGCGAAAGCCUGACGGAGCAACGCCGCGUGAGUGAUGAAGGUCUUCGGAUCGUAAAACUCUGUUAUUAGGGAAGAACAUAUGUGUAAGUAACUGUGCACAUCUUGACGGUACCUAAUCAGAAAGCCACGGCUAACUACGUG
rnacentral:rRNA from 1 species